AUUGUGGGUAGAUACCACCAUUUCCCAAGGAUCGUUCUUAAAUUUUGCGUCAAGCUGUGCAGUUGAAAAGGGUGAAAUUAAGCAAUUCUUUGUAAUAUCAGUGCUUGAUCGUUUAACGUUUAUGCAAAAAAAUAUUUUAAUUAAUUACUGUAGCAGUGUGAUUUUAUUAACGGAGCAGCCUUAAAUUGUAGAAUCUUUCACUUUAAUUUCAGGUCGAUAAAGCGAAGCGUGGAAAGAAACAGCCUGAAGAACUUUCUUCCAAGAGAAAUUCGGAAUCAGCUGGGUGCUUGUGCCAGUUGUUUUGGCCGUGCCUGUACCCGUGUGAAGAAGUGAGCUGUAAGCAAGGAGGCAGGACCGUUCAAUCACAACGGAAUCCAGGAUUCGUCAACAUUUCACCCUGUCUGAGUUGGUCGUGUUGGUACUCGACUCGAGUGUAAGAUGGCGUGUCGAGUCAAAGACGUGUUCCGGCCUCGUGUGCAAAAAAAGGUUCAGAUGCUGAAGUCUAUGGGCGGUUUGAACUUAUCCGCUGACGUCUAUUUAAGAUUCCCUCGUGCGACGUUCGGACGGGCCUCCGGAGAAUUCCAAAAGUUUCGGCAGUGACAUUAACACCGCCGGGAUUCGAUGCAGAGACGCCCCGAGUACGUCCCUACUUCGAAGACAACGUCAAGUGAAGAUCUCUCCGGUCGCUACUGAUUCUGGCCAGCUCUGCACACGAGGACCUCUUCGGAGGUGGUGACAGCAGUUCCUCGAGAACGGCGCCUGCUGAUGGUCCGCCCACUGGCCUUCCGCUUCUGGGACUACGAGACCCCCGAAGACGAUCUUCGGCUCCAGGAUGUGUUCAAGGUCAUCUGGACUGGAACGUCUAGUUGGCUCAGCGUCUCCCAGGGAGGACUGCCGUCGGCAGUGAGACCUCGCCUCGCCUCCUGCUCCACAUUUCCGACGACAUCUCUCCAGGAACAUCCCAUCAGACUCGUCUAUGUACCAGGGUCUUCAUAUCUGCGAAAUUCCUUCUUACUUCUCAAUUACCUUCGUUAUUUUCCACUGCAGAAUCAGCUCAAAAUUGCACAGUGUCACCAAAUAUCAUCAUCCCUCGUUCUGAUUCCCGUCAGCUCUUGACGGAUUUAUCUCCAAGAUCUGUUUCUCUCGGACGCCAGUAGAGUGAAGCACAGUGAUACGAAGGACUUUUCUGCACGGAUGUGGGAAGUCCUGUUUUCCUUGCACAAUUGAAGCAUUAUUCUUUUUUAGCGAAAAUUGACGUCUCGCCCCCGUUAGCUCCUCACGUCUUAUACGUUCGCCACUCAUUGGCUUCUGUUUUGAAAUGGCCACCAGAAUCUACGAACUUAAAACUUAUAGCAAAAGAUUUUCUUUCGUGUCUCGUCAUAUUUUAAACUCUCCAGAGAUUUUAAACAGCCUACUUUAAAGAUUUUUAAACUAAGAUAUUAAUUUUUUUAAAAAAUAUCGUUUAUCCUGUGAUGAUUUCUUGCCACUGAUGUUCAAAAAGUACAUCAUCUGGAUAUUAUUAGGCUUCAUACGUCUUUAUUAAUAUUGUCACGUGACCAUCGACAGUUUUCUCAGCAAUUUCAGAAAUUUUGGGAUGACAGAAAUGACUUACGUCACAGUAGAAAGUUUUUAAGGA